GUGAUAUGAGGUGUAGCACCGUCACCACCGUCACCUCAUGCGAUAUGAGGUGUCGCACCGUCACCUCGUGCGAUAUGAGGUGUAUAACCGUCACCUCGUGCGAUAUGAGGUGUAUAACUGUCACCUCGUGCGAUAUGAGGUGUAGCACCGUCACCUUGUGCGAUAUGAAGUGUAGAGUUUGCAUGUUCUCUCCGUGUCAACGGCGGUUUUCCUCCAGGUGUUCUGGUUUCCUCCGACUGUCCAAAAACAUGCAUCAUGACCUCUCACCUAACGUGAGCUGUUAAGGCUCAUAUUGAGUGAGAGUUAUUCAGAAAACACAUUCUGAAAAAUAAAAUAAAAUAAAAUAAAAUAAAUAA